rnacentral:rRNA from 1 species
UUAUGAGAGUUUGAUCCUGGCUCAGGACGAACGCUGGCGGCGUGCCUAAUACAUGCAAGUCGAACGCUUUUUCUUUCACCGGAGCUUGCUCCACCGAAAGAAAAAGAGUGGCGAACGGGUGAGUAACACGUGGGUAACCUGCCCAUCAGAAGGGGAUAACACUUGGAAACAGGUGCUAAUACCGUAUAACACUAUUUUCCGCAUGGAAGAAAGUUGAAAGGCGCUUUUGCGUC